UAUGCCUCUGGAAUAACUAAAUGGUGAAAUAAAUAACUUUUUAGUUCAGAAGAAGGCAAAUAUCAAGUGUCAAACCUUGAAGAUGUUUUAGGGCAAGGAAUGCUCUUCUUUUAGCUCCUUGCCUUGAUAUCUUCGAAUAUCC